rnacentral:rRNA from 1 species
CUCAACCCUGGAAUUGCAUUCCAAACUGGCGGACUAGAGUACGAUAGAGGGAGGUAGAAUUCGGAGUGUAGCGGUGAAAUGCGUAGAUAUUCCGAGGAAUACCAGUGGCGAAGGCGGCCUCCUGGAUUGAUACUGACACUGAGGCGCGAAAGCGUGGGGAGCAAACAGGAUUAGAUACCCUGGUAGUCCACGCCGUAAACGAUGUCUACUAGCCGUUGGGAGGCUUGACCUCUUAGUGGCGAAGCCAACGCGAUAAGUAGACCGCCUGGGGAGUACGGUCGCAAGAUUAAAACUCAAAUGAAUUGACGGGGGCCCGCACAAGCGGUGGAGCAUGUGGUUUAAUUCGAUGCAACGCGAAAAACCUUACCAGGCCUUGACAUCCUGAGAACUUUCCAGAGAUGGAUUGGUGCCUUCGGGAACCC